rnacentral:tRNA from 1 species
GGCUACGUAGCUCAGUUGGUUAGAGCACAUCACUCAUAAAUGAUGGGGUCACAGGUUCGAAUCCCGUCGUAGCCC